AGUGAACGCUGGCGGUAGGCCUAACACAUGCAAGUCGAACGGCAGCACAGGAGAGCUUGCUCUCUGGGUGGCGAGUGGCGGACGGGUGAGGAAUACAUCGGAAUCUACUUUUUCGUGGGGGAUAACGUAGGGAAACUUACGCUAAUACCGCAUACGACCUACGGGUGAAAGCAGGGGAUCUUCGGACCUUGCGCGAUUGAGUGAGCCGAUGUAGGAUUAGCUAGUUGGCGGGGUAAAGGCCCACCAAGGCGACGAUCCGUAGCUGGUCUGUGAGGAUGAGCAGCCACACUGGACCUGAGACACGUUCCAGACUCCGACGGGAGUCAGCAGUGGGGAAUAUUGGACAAUGGGCGCAAGCCUGAUCCAGCCAUACCGCGUGGGUUAACAAGGCCUUCGGGUUGUAAAGCCCUUUUGUUGGGAAAGAAAUCCAGCUGGUUAAUACCCGGUUGGGAUGACGGUACCCAAAGAAUAAGCACCGGCUAACUUCGUGCCAGCAGCCGCGGUAA
rnacentral:rRNA from 1 species